rnacentral:lncRNA from 1 species
AAUUGGACCUUUUGGUCAGAUGUAAAGUAAGGUCUUGGACCUAGGACUAUAGAUUGUCGCAGGCGACUUUCCGUUGAUGAGGUUUUGGUAGUUUGUGUGGUUAUUGGUGGGAGACUGUGGUCUCCAAGGUGAGAGUUUUGACUGAGGUUGUAAUAUAUUGAAACUUGGAGUUGCGAUGUCAACUUUGAUCUAGAAGAUCAAAGUAGGGUUUGAGCAGGUUUUGUAUCUUCCCCGAGUGAUUUUGGACGCGUGGGAGUGAGUUCCAAAGAGAAAUAAGUGUUUCGGCGCAAAUUGGGCGC